AAAUGAAUAGACGGGGACCCGCACAAGCGGAGUAGCGCGUGGUUUAAUUCGAUGGCAAUCGAACAACCUUACCAGGGUUUGACAUGUAUCUGCAUAUCUUUGGAAACAUAGAUAGCCUUCGAGGGUGAUACACAGGUACUGCAUGGCCGUCGUCAGCUCGUGUCGUGAGAUGUAGGGUUAAGUCCCGAAACGAGCGCAACCCCUAUCCCAUGUUACAAGUGUCUUGGGAAACUGCCUCGGUAAAACGGGGAGGAAGGUGGGGAUGACGUCUGGUCCGCAUAGUCCUUAUGUCCUGGGCUACACACACGCUACAAUGGUCGGUACAAUGGGCAGCCAAGCCGCAAGGCGGAGCUAAUCCUUUAAAGCCGAUCUCAGUUCGGAUUGUGGGCUGAAACCCGCCCGCAUGAAGUUGGAUUCGCUAGUAAUCGUGGAUCAGCCAUGCCACGGUGAAUACGUUCUCGGGUCUUGCACACACCGCCCGU
rnacentral:rRNA from 1 species